rnacentral:sRNA from 1 species
AUCGCAGAAGAGUACGUGAUGUCAUCACCCA